AUUGAACGCUGGCGGCAUGCCUUACACAUGCAAGUCGAACGGCAGCACGGGUGCUUGCCCCUGGUGGCGAGUGGCGAACGGGUGAGUAAUACAUCGGAACAUGUCCUGUAGUGGGGGAUUGCCCGGCGAAAGCCGGAUUAAUACCGCAUACGAUCUACGGAUGAAAGCGGGGGACCUUCGGGCCUCGCGCUAUAGGGUUGGCCGAUGGCUGAUUAGCUCGUUGGUGGGGGAAAGGCCUACCAAGGGGACGAUCAGUAGCUGGUCUGAGAGGACGACCAGCCACACUGGAACGGAGACACGGCCCAGGCUCCUACGGGAGGCAGCAGUGGGGAAUUUUGGACAAUGGGCGAAAGCCUGAUCCAGCAGUGCCGCGUGUGUGAAGAAGGCCUUCGGGUUGUAAAGCACUUUUGUCCGGAAAGAAAUCCUUGGCCCUAAUACGGUCGGGGGAUGACGGUACCGGAAGAAUAAGCACCGGCUAACUACGUG
rnacentral:rRNA from 1 species